UUGAAAGGGAAACGAUUGAAGUCAGUCAUGCUGGUGGGAGUCAACUUAGGGGAAACUCUAGGUGCACUUCUUCGCUUGGCAGGUUAACGUCGAUCUUGAAUGCCAUAAAAUAAUUGGGGGAAGGUAGCUCCUUCGGGAGUGUUAUAGCCCUUGAUAGAUGUGAUGUUUGGGGUCGAGGAUUGCAACGGAUACCCUUUGGGGCUAGCCGCCUGAUCUCUAAUCGGUGUUGGGUUACGGAUAGCAUGCUGACCGUGAUCUAAUUACUGGUUAAAAGGUUAGAGCGUGCAUAAAUUCGUUAAGGAUGUUGACGUA
rnacentral:rRNA from 1 species